GAUGAACGCUGGCGGCGUGCUUAACACAUGCAAGUCGAACGGGAAUUACUUUAUUGAAACUUCGGUCGAUUUAAUUUAAUUCUAGUGGCGGACGGGUGAGUAACGCGUGGGUAACCUGCCUUGUACAGGGGGAUAACAGUCAGAAAUGACUGCUAAUACCGCAUAAGCGCACAGGACCGCAUGGUCCGGUGUGAAAAACUCCGGUGGUAUAAGAUGGACCCGCGUUGGAUUAGCUGGUUGGUGGGGUAACGGCCUACCAAGGCGACGAUCCAUAGCCGGCCUGAGAGGGUGAACGGCCACAUUGGGACUGAGACACGGCCCAGACUCCUACGGGAGGCAGCAGUGGGGAAUAUUGCACAAUGGGGGAAACCCUGAUGCAGCGACGCCGCGUGAAGGAAGAAGUAUCUCGGUAUGUAAACUUCUAUCAGCAGGGAAGAAAAUGACGGUACCUGACUAAGAAGCCCCGGC
rnacentral:rRNA from 1 species